rnacentral:lncRNA from 1 species
CUUGCAGAACAGUGGUUCCUGGGUGACUUUGUAAGGCAGUGCUGCCUUUUCAGCCCUAUUAGAAUACUCUGAGGCUGUUACAAGAAAAAGAAAUAACUUUUCUCUUAGUAAGCAAGAAUGGCCUUUGACUCAAGCUUAGAUGAAGAUACCCUGCACAGGACAUUGAGGGCUUUGUGAUGGCAACAGGAAAAGCCCGAG